CAAAAACUGGGCAGUAUUUUUGUGCUGUCUUUUCCUGGAACAAUCCUUUGAUUUUUAUUUGUAAAAUCUAUUUCUUUUGCUGCAUUUCCUUAACAGGUAGAGUGGAGUAAGAAGUCCUCUCUGCUCCAUGAGGAACCCUCUCAUUCUGAUGUCCACCUGGCACAAGGGAAGUCAGUUCAAAUCCAGAUUUCACCCAUUUCAGAGCAGGAGCUGAAGCACUGCUUUGGGAGCAGAUCUUAGUGUUGCCAGCCUGGAAAGUGCCUUCCUCCUGCUUUUCAAGAAGAGGAAAGACUGGAUGUGUUUAAAAGGGUUGAUUUUUCAUUCUCUUCCUGCAGCAUGAAGAGCACAGCAACAAAGGAACGGGAUUAUAGUUGCACAGAGAAAUGCAACUGUUUCUAACACAGGCAAGGCAAAGUGCUUAAAGAAGAACUCAGAGCAAGUAGCUUUGUUUCCUUUGAGGAUCGUCCUAAUAAAACAAAGAGGUUCAGCUUCUCGAG